rnacentral:rRNA from 1 species
UAGGGUGCAAGCGUUGUCCGGAAUUAUUGGGCGUAAAGAGCUCGUAGGCGGUUUGUCGCGUCUGCUGUGAAAACUCAGGGCUUAACCCUGAGCCUGCAGUGGGUACGGGCAGACUAGAGUGUGGUAGGGGAGAUCGGAAUUCCUGGUGUAGCGGUGGAAUGCGCAGAUAUCAGGAGGAACACCGGUGGCGAAGGCGGAUCUCUGGGCCAUAACUGACGCUGAGGAGCGAAAGCAUGGGGAGCGAACAGG